GGGCACGACACCGGAGAGGGAGCCUGAGAAACGGCUACCACAUCCAAGGAUGGCAGCAGGCGCGCAAAUUACCCAAUCCCGACACGGGGAGGUAGUGACAAUAAAUAACAAUACGGGGUUCUUUAGGAUCUCGUAAUUGGAAUGAGUACAAUUUAAAUCUCUUAACGAGGAACAAUUGGAGGGCAAGUCUGGUGCCAGCAGCCGCGGUAAUUCCAGCUCCAAUAGCGUAUAUUAAAGUUGUUGCAGUUAAAAAGCUCGUAGUUGAAUUUCGGGGUUAGUAGGUUGGUCAUGCCUCUGGUAUGUACUGGUCUCACUGAUUCCUCCUUCCUUAUGAACCGUAAUGCCAUUAAUUUGGUGUUGCGGGGAAUUUGGACUGUUACUUUGAAAAAAUUAGAGUGUUUAAAGCAAGCUAACGCUUGAAUACAUUAGCAUGGAAUAAUGAAAUAGGACGUUCGAUCUUAUUUUGUUGGUUUCUAGGAUUGACGUAAUGAUUAAUAGGGAUAGUUGGGGGCAUUAGUAUUCAAUUGUCAGAGGUGAAAUUCUUGGAUUUAUUGAAGACUAACUACUGCGAAAGCAUUUGCCAAGGAUGUUUUCAUUAAUCAAGAACGAAAGUUAGGGGAUCGAAGACGAUCAGAUACCGUCGUAGUCUUAACCAUAAACUAUGCCGACUAGGGAUCGGAUGAUGUUAAUUUUUUAAUGACUCAUUCGGCGCCUUACGGGAAACCA
rnacentral:rRNA from 1 species